rnacentral:rRNA from 1 species
UGAGUACGAGAUGCUACGGCAUCGAAGCAGUCUAUGUCAUACUUCCAAGAAAAGCUUGCACUGUCAUAAACAAAGAAUGCCUGUACCAUAACCGACACAGGUGGGUAGGUAGAGUAUACUAAGGGGCGCGAGAUAACUCUCUCUAAGGAACUCGGCAAAAUGACUCCGUAACUUCGGGAGAAGGAGUGCCUUAUUUCUAAGGUUGCAAUAACAAGAUCCAAGCAACUGUUUACCAAAAACACAGGUCUCCGCUAAGUCGUAAGACGAUGUAUGGGGGCUGACGCCUGCCCAGUGCCAGAAGGUUAAAGAAGUUGGUUAGCAUUAGCGAAGCUGAUAACUGAAGCCCUGGUGAACGGCGGCCGUAACGAUAACGGUCCUAAGGUAGCGAAAUUCCUUGUCGGGUAAGUUCCGACCCGCACGAAAGGCGUAAUGAUUUGGAUACUGUCUCGGAGAGGGGCUCGGUGAAAUAGACUUGUCUGUGAAGAUGCGGACUACCUGCACCUGGACAGAAAGACCCUAUGAAGCUUUACUGUAACUUGAGAUUGAAAUUGGACUUUAUUUGCGCAGUAUAGGUGGGAGGCGUUGAGAAUAAUCUUGCGGGAUUGUUGGAGCCAUCAGUGAGAUACCACUCUUGUAAUGUUAGAUUUCUAACUUUGUAUCAUUAUCUGGUCAAAGAACAGUUUCAGGCGGGCAGUUUGACUGGGGCGGUCGCCUCCCAAAGGGUAACGGAGGCGCACAAAGGUUUCCUCUGAACGGGUAGAAAUCGUAUCUAGAGUGUAAAGGCAUAAGGAAGCUUGACUGUGAGACCUACAAGUCGAGCAGGGACGAAAGUCGGUCUUAGUGAUCUGACGGUGCUGAGUGGAAAGGCCGUCACUCAACGGAUAAAAAUUACUCUAAGGAUAACAGGCUGAUCUCCCCCAAGAGUUCACAUCGACGGGGAGGUUUGGCACCUCGAUGUCGGCUCAUCGCAUCCUGGGGCGGUAGUCCGUCCCAAGGGUUGGGCUGUCCGCCCAUGAAAGCGGUACGCGAGCUGGGUUCAGAACGUCGUGAGACAGUUCGGUCCAUAUCCGGUGUAGGCGUUAGAAUAUUGAGAGGAGCCUUCUCUAGUACGAGAGGACCGAGAAGGACAUACCUCUGGUGUACCAGUUAUCGUGCCAACGGUAAACGCUGGGUAGCUAUGUAUGGAGUGGAUAACCGCUGAAAGCAUCUAAGUGGGAAGCCCACCUCAAGAUAAGUAUUCUCA